rnacentral:tRNA from 1 species
AUUAUUUUGGCAGAGGUUAUGUGGUGAUUUUAGGAAUCAUUUAAAUAUAGGGAUAACUAUAUAAAUAAUA